GACGAACCGUGGCGAACGUUGUUCGGAAUCACUGGGCUUAAAGGGUGCGUAGGCGGGCCGAAAAGUCAGGGGUGAAAGCCUCCAGCUUAACUGGAGAAGUGCCUUUGAUACUGGCGGUCUUGAGGAAGGUAGGGGCAUGCGGAACUGAUGGUGGAGCGGUGAAAUGUGUUGAUAUCAUCAGGAACUCCGGUGGCGAAAGCGGCGUGCUGGACCUUUCUGACGCUGAUGCACGAAAGCCAGGGGAGCAAACGGG
rnacentral:rRNA from 1 species